rnacentral:rRNA from 1 species
UCCUGGCUCAGGACGAACGCUGGCGGCGUGCUUAACACAUGCAAGUCGAACGAUGAUGCUCCAGCUUUGUUGGGGUGGAUUAGUGGCGAACGGGUGAGUAACACGUGAGUAACCUGCCCUCUUCUUUGGGAUAACGGUCGGAAACGGCUGCUAAUACUGGAUAUUCACUCAUUGGCGCAUGUUGGUGGGUGGAAAGGUUUUUUCUGGUGGGGGAUGGGCUCGCGGCCUAUCAGCUUGUUGGUGGGGUGAUGGCCUACCAAGGCUUUGACGGGUAACCGGCCUGAGAGGGUGACCGGUCACAUUGGGACUGAGAUACGGCCCAGACUCCUACGGGAGGCAGCAGUGGGGAAUUUUGCACAAUGGGCGCAAGCCUGAUGCAGCGACGCCGCGUGAGGGAUGAAGGCCUUCGGGUUGUAAACCUUUUUCGCUCAUGGUCAAGCCGCAGCUUUGGGUUGUGGUGAGGGUAGUGGGUAAAGAAGCGCCGGCUAACUACGUGCCAGC